AUGACAAGACUGAGUGAUUUCCAGAAGAAUAUAGUUCGAAAAUUAGGGUUGGGAGCACUGCUGGAUCUUUCCUACACUUCAAACAUUAAUGACAUUUUCUUAUGGCUAGCAGCCCAAUUCAACACAACAAACAACUGCAUUGAACUUAGGAAUGGCUUCAAAUUCAAGUUUAUUGACUCUGUUGUGCACACUAUACUUGGAAUUCCAUUUGGUGGACUGCCAAUUCAAACGAAUCCAUCAAAAGAAGUUUUAGAAAAGAUCCACAAUCUUGUUCGAUCAUCAUCUCCUAGUACAGAGCUUCUUAUAUCCCUUGUUGGUGAUGACAACACAGAGGAAACUUUUUCCAUUCUAUUUGUACUGCUACCUGUAUCGUGCUUAUUAGCUCCUAACUCGAAAGGAUAUCCAACAAAGAAAGUAUACAACCUUUUGGCAAAUACACAAUCUGUUUCCAACUACAAUUGGUGUUCAUUUGCUCUAUCGUACUUGGCACAUCACAUCAAAAAAGUGAAGCCAGACCUGCUUCAAAAAAAGGCAGUUAUGCCUGGAGGUUGCAAGCUUAUAUUGGUGAUUGCCCACUUUGAAUGCUUAAUUACUUCUGAAUUCAAGAUACCAUUGAACAUCAAGCCAAGGCUACCUUUGUGGUCAACAAGUUUGUUAAAAUCUUUUAUUGCUCUUGACUCUAUGCAUGGCGAAAAAAACGAGUUUGGCAGACUACCUAUGAAACACAUCUCUUCAACCCCUUUCAAUGAUUCAAUGAAUGAUUUCGCUGUUGAACUACCAGAAGUUAUCUUACAGUAUAUUGACAACAAAUUCCCUUCAUUUCAGGAUAAUCUGGAGAAAUCUCUUCUACAAGCAUCCAGCCAAAGAUUCUGGGAAACACUUGUAACAAACUACAUCCCAACACUGAGAACAUACAUCGACGAUGUCAAAUGUUCAUUCUCCAAAAAAAGUGCUACUACCAGAUAUUCAAUUAAACAAGAAACAAAAAGUUUGCCAGCAACUAGUUCCCCAGUGACUUCUGGCAUAGCAGAAUUAUGUGUCCCCAAGUCUUGCUACAAGAUUAUGUCAGAAGCCAGCUUAGCACAAGAGUUCCGCAAAAUAAACAAAAAGAUGAGUGGAUAA
rnacentral:rRNA from 1 species